AGAGCAGAACUUGGACUGAGUCCUGCAGGACACAGGUUCCGCCGAGCCCGUCCCUUGGCGGUGGUGUCACUGGAUGCUGGGAAGAGAUGGUGGGAAGAGCCUCCAUCCAUUGGCGCGUCACUAAUUAGACAAGGAGGCCUUGGGCUCCCUUGAGAGAGUCACGGUUUCUCCUCCGUUGACCCGCCCUUCAUUGAACUCCUUUACUUGGAUAUUCAGAGCGCUGGACAGAGAUCACUUGGCGCUAACACCCUCGGAGGUCCUCACGGCGCUCCGUCGGAAUGACACAGUCGGAUUCCCAAGCUGCGAAGGGUGAGGGAGGGACUGCAGCGCAGGAACUGAGGAGGAGAGGCCCGCGCGCCCACUGGAGCCGAGCGGUGAGGAAUAACCGGACCGACCCCCGACGGUGCGUGACAGACAGGCUAGAGCAGCGGCGCUAUCAUAGCUCACUGCAGCCU
rnacentral:lncRNA from 10 species